rnacentral:rRNA from 1 species
UACGUAGGGGGCAAGCGUUGUCCGGAAUCAUUGGGCGUAAAGCGCGCGUAGGCGGCCCGGUAAGUCCGCUGUGAAAGUCAAAGGCUCAACCUUUGAAUGUCAGCGGAUACUGCCGGGCUAGAGUCCGGAAGAGGCGAGUGGAAUUCCUGGUGUAGCGGUGAAAUUCGUAGAUAUUGGGAGGAACACCGGUGGCGAAGGCGACCGCCUGGACGAUGACUGACGCUGAGGCGCGAGAGCGUGGGGAGCAAACAGG